UUGAUAUAAAUACAGUAGGUAAAAUGUAAAACCCUCUGAAGAGAGGGUGAAAAUACUGCAAAGCCUUCCAAAUAGAGAGGAUAGUAAAAUGCCAUUUUAAUUUGGUUUAAAAUGCUUUGUUUAAAUAGGUAAGCUGAGAAAACCCUCCAGAGAGCCUUUAGAAAUUCUUUUAAGGGUUUCUGAAGUAUGCUUGCAUUUCUGUAGUGAAUUUGAAAACCUAAUCCUUCCACUUAAAUAGGUUUAAUGUUAUUAAACAAUUGACUUUUCUCUAGGAAUUAGGAAGGUUUUCAUGAUCAUGAAUCUUUUAACUUGUUACAUUUUUUAUGAUAAUGUUCUGUAAAAAUGCUUUUAUUAUUUUUAUUUUCUUUAGGAGUCUUAGAUCAUAUUUAAUAUUAAGUUGUUGGGCCUAGUAAAUUGUAUAAAUGUAUCUCAUGCAGAUCUCAGUUCUUCGGCUCUAACUAUCAUUGACAAAUUAGCUUUAGAUCACAUUACUCUCUGGAUUAAAAAAUUGUUCUUGUUCCUUACUUGUAUUUGUUCUUUGCUUAUAGUUUUACAAUGAGUUGACUGAAAUCCUGGUCAGGUUCCAGAACAAAUGCAGUGAUAUAGUUUUUGCACGGAAGACAGAAAGAGAUGAACUCUUAAAGGACUUGCAACAAAGCAUUGCCAGAGAACCUAGUGCUCCUUCAAUUCCUACACCUGCGUAUCAGUCCUCACCAGCAGGAGGACAUGCACCAACUCCUCCAACUCCAGCGCCAAGAACCAUGCCGCCUACUAAGCCCCAGCCCCCAGCCAGGCCUCCACCACCUGUGCUUCCAGCAAAUCGAGCUCCUUCUGCUACUGCU
rnacentral:lncRNA from 1 species